GACGAACGCUGGCGGCGUGCUUAACACAUGCAAGUCGAACGGUAAGGCCCUUCGGGGUACACGAGUGGCGAACGGGUGAGUAACACGUGGGUGAUCUGCCCUGCACUUCGGGAUAAGCCUGGGAAACUGGGUCUAAUACCGGAUAGGACCACUGCCUGCAUGGGUGGUGGUGGAAAGCUUUUGCGGUGUGGGAUGGGCCCGCGGCCUAUCAGCGUGUUGGUGGGGUGAUGGCCUACCAAGGCGACGACGGGUAGCCGGCCUGGGAGGGUGACCGACCACAGUGGGACUGAGAUACGGCCCAGACUCCUACGGGAGGCAGCAGUGGGGAAUAUUGCACAAUGGGCGCAAGCCUGAUGCAGCGACGCCGCGUGAGGGAUGACGGCCUUCGGGUUGUAAACCUCUUUCAGCACCGACGAAGCGCAAGUGACGGUAGGUGCAGAAGAAGGACCGGCCAACUACGUGCCAGCAGCCGCCGUAA
rnacentral:rRNA from 1 species